rnacentral:rRNA from 1 species
GGAAUAUUGGACAAUGGGCGCAAGCCUGAUCCAGCCAUGCCGCGUGGAUGAUGAAGGCCCUAGGGUUGUAAAGUCCUUUCGGCGGGGAGGAUAAUGACGGUACCCGCAGAAGAAGCCCCGGCCAACUUCGUGCCAGCAGCCGCGGUAAUACGAAGGGGGCUAGCGUUGCUCGGAAUCACUGGGCGUAAAGCGCACGUAGGCGGCUUUUUAAGUCAGGGGUGAAAUCCUGGAGCUCAACUCCAGAACUGCCUUUGAUACUGAGAAGCUUGAGUCCGGGAGAGGUGAGUGGAACUGCGAGUGUAGAGGUGAAAUCCGUAGAUAUUCGCAAGAACACCAGUGGCGAAGGCGGCUCACUGGCCCGCAACUGACGCUGAGGUGCGAAAGCGUGGGGAGCAAA